UUCGGAAUUACUGGGCGUAAAGCGAACGUAGGCGGUGUUCCAUGUCAGAGGUGAAAGCCUGGGGCUCAACUCCAGAAUUGCCUUUGAAACGGGGACGCUUGAGUCCGAGAGAGGGUGGCGGAAUUCCUAGUGUAGAGGUGAAAUUCGUAGAUAUUAGGAAGAACACCAGUGGCGAAGGCGGCCGCCUGGCUCGGUACUGACGCUCAGGUUCGAAAGCGUGGGGAGCAAACAGG
rnacentral:rRNA from 1 species